rnacentral:rRNA from 1 species
UUGCCCGCUACCUCUUACCCAUGUCUUUUGAGUACUUACGUUUCCUCGGCGGGUCCGCCCGCCGAUUGGACAAAAUUAAACCCUUUGCAGUUGCAAUCAGCGUCUGAAAAACAUAAUAGUUACAACUUUCAACAACGGAUCUCUUGGUUCUGGCAUCGAUGAAGAACGCAGCGAAAUGCGAUAAGUAGUGUGAAUUGCAGAAUUCAGUGAAUCAUCGAAUCUUUGAACGCACAUUGCGCCCCUUGGUAUUCCAUGGGGCAUGCCUGUUCGAGCGUCAUUUGUACCUUCAAGCUUUGCUUGGUGUUGGGUGUUUGUCUCGCCUUUGCGUGUAGACUCGCCUCAAAACAAUUGGCAGCCGGCGUAUUGAUUUCGGAGCGCAGUACAUCUCGCGCUUUGCACUCAUAACGACGACGUCCAAAAGUACAUUUUUACACUCUUGACCUCGGAUCAGGUAGGGAUACCCGCUGAACUUAAGCAUAUCAUAACGGCGAAGGAAAAUCNUUACCUAGAGUUUGCUGGGCUUUGCCGCUA